rnacentral:lncRNA from 12 species
UCACAAUGGAAGUCACUCGAGUUUGGAUGCAGCCAAGGUUUGGGUCAGGAUUUCUAGAUGGUGACAAAUAAGUCUUGACCAAAUCAAAACAGUUUUGGCAGAGAUGGAAUGGAACUGGGCUUGGGAAUUCAGAUAGAUUUCUAGAAUAAGACUUUUAUUGGAUUUUUACUAUGGAAAAAGUUCCCCCCCACCCCCGGAGGAAGACUCCGCCAGGAACAAGGCAUCAUUCGCCGGGAUUUGUGGGAUCCAGCCUGGAAAACAUCUCCUGGCUGGGAUGAGGUGGCCGUGAGUCACCGGGACCGGUUCUGGCGGAGCCGGAGCAUCAGAUAAGGCACGGAAAAGCAGCGCGGUGUCUGCGGCUCUGGCAGAGCAUCCCGGGGAUUUGGGACACGGAUUCAGCCCUGGCACAGCAUCCCGGGGGGUUUGGGACAUGGAUUCUUGAACAACUCCUUAUCAGUCAUAUGA